rnacentral:piRNA from 1 species
UCCUCAAGAUAGCACAGGAUGUCCAGGGA